AAGUAUUUAAAAACAAAAAGCACAUACAAACGCACGAAUUGCAUGAUGCAGUUGGACUUUGACAGGUUGGAGAAAUCGCCCGGGGCGGUGUGGCGGUCAACUAGGACAGAAGAAUAGGGUAGUCAAAGGUUUUUGGAUAGCUAUUGUUCCCAAAUUGUAUACCGUUGAUUGUAUACUACUCCGUAAUAGAUAUAACAUGGUGUUUUAGGGAAUGCCUUUUCUUUCCCCACAACACUAACGUACCAAACAUUAUUUUAACAUUAUUUUUGGCGUUUUGAUGAAGGUCAAAACAUCCAUCAAAAUGGUCAGUACAGUGAACUCUCCCGACUGCGGCCAUCUCUUCAUAGCAACCAAUAAUGGGAGUGAUAUUUUCUCGGAUGAUUGUUGUCUAUAAUGAGACGCCCUGGGAAAUUAGUCUCAGGGAGAAACUACAUUCGUUAGAGCUUGAUCACUAUAUUCAUUUUCCUCCGGGCCGCAGCGAAUUCCCAGCCUCUCAUUUUCUGAAACGCAACCACGCGUUUGGACUGCCUUCCAGGAUAGCCAUCGAAGUAGGCGGAAGGGAAGUGCACAGCUUUAUUCCCCAGAACUUUCUAGACUACGUCAAAAUCACUUUCUCCAAUGCCGGAGCAGGGAACUUGGUUGUACGUAUUGUUCGGGCUAGGUUGCAUGAUCUAUGCCGUCUAAGGGGAUUUGGGUGCCUGGGUAGGACAUAUCAUGGACGGCCAGAUGAUAUCAUAAUGGAGUACACAAUUGACAAUUGAAAAUCAAGACAUUGCUCUGACAAGCUCUAAUGCUGAAGACAAUGAUACAAGUUCAUGACUUCAUGCACACCGUAGAUUAUUUAUGGUUGCAUAUGUAAUCAGUUCAUGGCUAUGAGAUGAAACACUGGAAAUACAUUCUUGUCCUACCAGAGGCAAGGAAAUAUGCAGCACCAAGUCUGAGUUGGAUGUUGCUAUGAUAGCUCUCCUUGUGCCUUUCAAGACGUCCCAUUUGACGGUAGUUCUCUGAUUGGUACAGCCAGUUCAUAUCUUGUGCCUUUCUUAUACGUACACAUUUAAGUAUGGUGGAUAUGAAAUUGAUGCCGAAGAGAACUGAGAUCAAGAUGGAAACUGAGAAAAGUUUCCACCAGUGUUUGCACUGAUGCUCUGAUGGCUUUGAAUUUGCGAGGAAAAGGAUAAAUUGGAAGGUGAUAUAGAACAUAGCCAGGUAUGUAGCCUUUGUAUCAUGGUAUUGUAUUUGUUUCUCCAGUCUAUAGUUUAUUGCAGCAAGCCCUUCGCAGUUGCUCCUGCACUUCUGCACCUUCUCGUAGAAGAUAUUUGACCACAUUUUGAAGAUUUGGAUAUUUUCUCAAGCAGCUUCUUUAAGCGUGAAUGCCUCACGAAAAAGAAAGGAUUUCCAAAGGCAAUGUAAUCUGCUCAUGUACUUUAACCUGUCUGCAAUAGAACUUAUGCUUUCAUGUAAACUCCAGGGAGUGGCUAGGAUGCUCUUUUCCCGGGUGCUGAUAAGCUCUGGGUUUUGGAUGCUUUCAUGGAUAGAAAGAAAAUGGUAACUGCAGGAAGGGAGUGCUAUAUCAGGGUUCAUAUCACAUGUUGUAAAUUGUAAUACUUGGAGGACAGUUUCGUAGCAGCAUUUGAGAGGAAUUCUUUGUGCUCACUUAUAAGGCUGGAGACGAUAAUCACAGACAGGCCUACCACUCAGCUGAGACCAUGAAAAUUCAAAGUCCCAGCCGAUGCCUCCAUCGCCAAACACCAUUCCGCCUUCGCCAUCUGAGCAGCAGCGGCGCCCUUGGUCUUCCCUUCCCUCCCCUCUCCCUCUCGGCUAGCGGCGACCAUGGCAGCAGCGGAGACCAACAGUUUUCCCGGCGACAGCAAGAAACAACGACAGUGGCUAUGGCGGCGAGUUCUUCUCUCUGGCGGAGCUUAUUCCCCGACAGAGCUGUGACGACGGGCAGAAAAGGCAGCGCGGCAGUACCUUUCUCCCUCUUCCCUGUUUCCCGACGAGGUUCCAUGGUUGCCGGCUUAGCUCAUCGCGUAGCAGUUCGGCGGUGGUUGGCGACCUCCCUCCUCCUCUCCGACAGUUGUCUUCCUCAACAACGACGUUUAUGAAAUGGAGAUUGAUCUGAUGGUAUUUUGGUACAGACAAGGAUGAUUCAAAGCUAUAUAUAUUUCUUGAUGUAGUCCACAGGUAACUGAAUAAAUGUCUUGAUGUUUCUCUUGCUUGAAUCAUUAUUCUAUUGUUCAGGAUGAUGAACGAAUGAAUUCUGAUUCAACUGACAAAGAGAGAGAUACAGUCCUAUAAGAAGGAGGACACUAAACUCUCCUAUUCUAUAGCUGUUACAUUAUUGACUAAGUAUUAAUACAAUAAUAAAACUAUACAUAAUAUUAUAAAGAUACUUAGACUAUGGUUAAUAAGGAUAAGCUUUAAAGUGUAACAUGUGUUCUCUUGAUGCUUGAACAUAAUUUUCCUAUAAGAAGUUUUCUUGUUGAUUCUAGUACACUGUAGAAGAAGUGUAAUAAUUUUUGCAAUGUAUAUUAAAUUCAAGUAUCUAAUCAGGUUGUCACUACUUUUGAAUGUACUAGCAUAGUAUAAAAUAUUUUCCUUGUAAAUUCAAUUUUAAAUAUGUUUUGGAAGUCUUCAUUAUUUUGUUUUCCUAGAGAUAUUAAAUGCGCAAACAUAUGCGUGGAUGCUGCUGGGAGAGUCAAACUUGCAGAUUUUGGCCUAGCUAAGGCCACCAAACUGAAUGAUGUGAAGUUCUGUGAGGGCACUGCCUUCUAGAUGGCUCUUGAGGUUAGUUGUGAUUCCUUUACCGAUAAUUAUCAUACAAUUUUGUUCUUCUUGGGGUUGCAUAGUAAACUAAAUCUUUAAUGCCUUGUUAUGACUAAUAUGUAAUGAAUAUAAACAUCAAACGCGUGAUUGCUGAAAUAAAAGGCCAUCAUGUAAGGAAGCAUUGGCAUUAAAUAAUUCCAUUCUCUUUUGUUUGCUCAGUUGCUUGAAACUAUAAAUUUUUUCCUAUACUAUUCUUCUAAUUAGUAAUUGUGUUAAUUGCUUCUUUUACUUUUAAUUCUUUUUUUUUUUGAGGAAAUUACUUUUAAUUCUUUUAAUUCUAAUUGGAUUAAUUUUGUAGGGACACUACUCCGUAGCAGUAGGAAAGAAAGUUAGGAAUUAGAGGAUAAUUGUAUGUGCAAUCUUAUUUAGGAAUUGGACUAAUUUUUGUAGGGACACCUUGCAAAUUCCAGCUGCAAGUUAGAUAUAAUUUAGAUUAUAAAUUAAAGCUGCAAACAUACAUUGGCAUUCUUGUAGUUUCCUUGGUGAUUAUGUUUCCUUGCUCUAAAUGUUGUUUGUGCAGUGACCAAGUGAUAUUGCAGUUGGUAUGCUAUGAACAUCAGAGCUGUGACCCUCUUCUAGUUAUGAGUGUUAUUUAUAACUUUUAUGACUAUUUACUUCAAAGAAAAUUCAUUCUUUUAUGACUAUUUGGUUUGGAAUUGUAAUAAUGUAAUUUCAUUCUUUUGUAACUUUCAAUUAUUUUUAAUUUGAAUUGUAAAUAUGUAAUUUCAUUCGUCUC